GGCUCAGAUUGAACGCUGGCGGCAGGCCUAACACAUGCAAGUCGAACGGUAGCACAGAGGAGCUUGCUCCUUGGGUGACGAGUGGCGGACGGGUGAGUAAUGUCUGGGAAACUGCCCGAUGGAGGGGGAUAACUACUGGAAACGGUAGCUAAUACCGCAUAACGUCGCAAGACCAAAGAGGGGGACCUUCGGGCCUCUUGCCAUCGGAUGUGCCCAGAUGGGAUUAGCUAGUAGGUGGGGUAACGGCUCACCUAGGCGACGAUCCCUAGCUGGUCUGAGAGGAUGACCAGCCACACUGGAACUGAGACACGGUCCAGACUCC
rnacentral:rRNA from 2 species